AGAGUUUGAUCAUGGCUCAGGACGAACGCUUGCGGCGUGCCUAAGAAAUGCAAGUCGAGCGGGGUGUCGCAAGACACCUAGCGGCGAACGGUCGCGUAACACGUAAGCAACCUGCCCCGAAGACCGGGACAACAUCUCGAAAGGGGUGCUAAUACCGGAUGUGGCCCCUGGGGGACCUCCCCUGGGGAUUAAAGCGAGCAAUCGGCUUCGGGAGGGGCUUGCGGCCUAUCAGCUAGUUGGUGGGGUAACGGCCUACCAAGGCGACGACGGGUAGCUGGUCUGAGAGGACGGCCAGCCGGACUGGGACUGAGAGACGGCCCAGACUCCUACGGGGGGCAGCAAUUAGGAAUCUUGCGCAAUGGGCGAAAGCCUGACGCAGCGACGCCGCGUGAGGGAGGAAGGCCUUCGGGUUGUAAACCUCUUUUGGGUGGGAAGAAGGAUGUGACGGUACCACCAGAAUAAGCCCCGGCUAACUCCGUGCCAGCAGCCGCGGUAAUUC
rnacentral:rRNA from 1 species